rnacentral:siRNA from 1 species
UGUAAAUCAUUCUAUGCCACUAAC